UACGUAGGGUGCAAGCGUUGUCCGGAAUUAUUGGGCGUAAAGAGCUCGUAGGCGGUUUGUCGCGUCUGCUGUGAAAACUCGGGGCUUAACCCCGGGCCUGCAGUGGGUACGGGCAGACUAGAGUGCGGUAGGGGAGACUGGAAUUCCUGGUGUAGCGGUGAAAUGCGCAGAUAUCAGGAGGAACACCGGUGGCGAAGGCGGGUCUCUGGGCAGUAACUGACGCUGAGGAGCGAAAGCGUGGGGAGCGAACAGG
rnacentral:rRNA from 1 species